UCGAUCCCCAUCCAGGAUCCCUUCGCCGCCGCCCUCGCUCACACAUCAAGCGCCCUCGAUCCCUGAGCCUCCGAACCUUCGCCGUCGGCGAUCCCUACGGGACACCUCUGCCAGUCGUGCCUUACCCUCCUCUGUGUGCUGGUGGUGGUGAUGUAGUGCGUCAUCGAUCACGAGAUCGGCAAGCCCAAGUACCGUUGCGCUUGGGCUUGUGUCGACACGGCCGCGGAUGGCGGCUACAGGACGAUCGAGUGUGUCCUCCAGUACUCCAUGCAAGAUCAGGUAACUUGUGAUUUGUCCCCGGCGACAUCACCUCCAUCGACCGUGCGGCUAGGCUCGCCUUUGUCCUCGCUGUCGUCAUGGCCGGAUGCCACAUUGAGUCAACCUCCGGGUCCAGCGGUGCAUGCUCCUUCCCGUUGCUACACCAUUCCGCGGCCUAGGAGACCCAACUAGCAGGACCACACCUCGGCUGCUUUUGUCGUGCCUCAAGGAACCUGACAGUGUCGUCAUUAUCAGGUUAGUUCCAUUACACUCGGGUCACCGGCGGUUGUCGUGCUACUGUGCUCCUCUCUUGUUGUAGCGGUUAUCUGCGGCGGCUCACGGAUCAUCCUCCUAUGAGGUUGUGGCUUUGUCAAUUGAUAAAAAUAACAUGACGCCGCAUAGUUCUUUUCUAGAUAUAUAUAUAUUCCUAUUUCUGAUGCUGUGUGGAACAUCAGAAACCUGAUGUGUGUGUGUGUGUGUGUGUGUGUGUGUGUGUGUGUGUGUGUCAUAAAAUAUCUUGCCGUUUAUGUAUUUUGCUUCCCUUUUAUUCAUGUACUACUUCUCUAAAUGCAAGCCACUUCUUUUCUAUUGUGGGCGUUACCUUUCGAUGUUAAUGGACUAAAAGUCUAAAGCCUUACCUUCUGCAAAAUGAUGUUAUUAGAGCUAUGCGUCUUAUAAUCCCUACUGUAUAUGACAAUGUGAUAUUCAGUUAUAUUAUGUUCGAAGCAUGGCAUUUUUCCUUCCUUUUUUUGAUGAAUCACGUGGUAAAUUAUGAUGUACAAUGACCGCUCUUGCAAAAAAAUUGAAACUCAGAGAGGGGUUCUACAACAAGCAAGGUUUUAGGAUAUGAAUCUAAAUAAACUCUUCUUCAGUCCAGUCCUAGCACAAACUGAUCAGAGAAACAAUGAAGCAGCAACGCAUGGGUCCCCUUCUUGCACACAAGAGUUGUCUUUGUGCAAGUCAUGAACCUUUUUUCCAUCACUGGAUUUGAACAUGUUAAUUCUGAGCUUCUGUUCGGAGUUUAUAUUCUAGCUUUCAUGCGAAGUAGUUACAUUUAUCGCAUGGAAGAUGAUGCCCAUAGAGUGGAAGGUGGGGAGAUUCGGACUUUGGAGGAUGUAAAUAUGCUCAAAGUUUUUCAAUUAAGGGCCACCGUCGCCGCCGUCUGUAGCAACGCAUAGGCCGCUUGCCCAGCUCCCUCAUUCCGAGCACGACACCACGCGUCGGAGCUUGUUGGGAGGCACGGAAGGACGAACAGAGUUCUAUCGGUGAUCUGAGUUGUCUCUGACGGUGUCAUAGGAUCUGCGGUGCACGUGGACAAGACAAUGGGGCCGCCAACCUACCUCCUCUUCACCACAGCGCGUGUGGAUUCUUGGGCUACCUCAACUUGGAUCAGCUUUUUCAAGAGGGGAUGCUUGCCAUUCAGAGGUGCAAUGGAUUGAUUGAUUGAUGAAUCAAUCACAGCUGCUAGAAGAAGAAAGAAUCAGGCGUGCAUCAUGGAUGAUGGAUCUUGGAGUGCGGGGUGAGAACAAAGGUGCUACACGAAGAGGAAUUUGCGCCAGUGAAGAACGCAAAUGGCACAACCUAUGACACCUGAUGCUACUCCAACUGCAUAGCGGAUGUGUAAUUUCUCACCAUUUCCUGUACCCAGAAACUUGUAGAAUUAAAUUACAAGUCAGGCCUUUCAACAUAGAACUUUUUUGAUCAUCUUUCUCAUGAUCCCUUUUGUUGGGGAUAUAACUAUUUGUGUAAGCCGCCCAGGAGGGGCCGGGUUAUGCAAAGAGGACUCACCAGAAAGAAGCCCAAGACCAAAGCAUGAAGA